CCUACGGGCGGCUGCAGUAAGGAAUAUUGGUCAAUGGACGAAAGUCUGAACCAGCCAUCCCGCGUGCAGGAUGAAAGCCCUAUGGGUUGUAAACUGCUUUUAGCAGAGAAGAAAAGCUUUCAUUAAUGAGAGUCUGACGGUAUCUGCAGAAUAAGCACCGGCUAACUCCGUGCCAGCAGCCGCGGUAAUACGGAGGGUGCGAGCGUUAUCGGGAAUAAAUGGGUUGUAAGGGGACGUAGAAGUAGGAGGUGAAAUCUUGUCGCUUAACGAUAGAAUUGCCGAUGAUACUGGUACUCUUGAAUUGGGUUGAGGUUAGCGGAAUGUGACAUGAAGCGGUGAAAUGCAUAGAUAUGUCAUGGAACACCAAUUGCGAAGGCAGCUAACUGGGCCUUGAUUGACGCUGAGGCACGAAAGCGUGGGUAGCGAACAGGAUUAGAUACCCUAGUAGUC
rnacentral:rRNA from 1 species